GCGGACGUGGCGAAAUCGGUAGACGCAGCAGACUUAAAAUCUGCCUCCUGUAUAGGAGUACGGGUUCGAGUCCCGUCGUCCGCACCA
rnacentral:tRNA from 2 species